CAGCAGUGGGGCAGCAAGCAUGUGGCUCAGCUGAAGACAGCUAUGCUCUAGGUGCCAAAGUAGCUAGCAGCUCCACUGCACACACAGGAUAUGUUCUAGGUAGAUGUACUCUUACUUGCAGACCAAGAGUGAUCAUGAUGCACCUUUGAUAUCAGCUGUGAAAUACAAAUGAAUUAAUAGUUGUUUCAAGGAUUGUGGAAGUCACUUGAGGCUUGGGAAAGUUAGUUUAGAAGAAUGUCUAUGUGCUUCUAAAGAAUAAAUAAUGUGUGACUUGAAUAAAGUGUACCCACUGUAUUUUUAAGAGUGCAACGUAACAUGAGCUGUACAUUACUGUUGCCAGUAUAAAAGUAUUUGCAUUUAGAGUUCUUUAUACUUUUAAAAUUAUUUUUUAAAGAUUUAAUCAAACUCCUAUUGUCUUAUCUCACCAAUAAAUUCACCAGAACAAAAUCUUUACCCCUACCCAGCCCCCUAGACUCUUCGGGGAACAGUUUUAUAUAAAAUGAAAUAUUAAGACUUGGUUCUUCUUCCUCCAUGCAGGUGUGCCUACCUCAGAGCAGGUGCCAAUAAAGACCGAACAGGAAACUAUCCACAGUCCAGGAGAAAGACCACUCGUGGCCCCUGUUCCUAACCAAAUAGUACCACUGAGUCAGGAAUGUACUGCCCCUGCAUCAAGAGCAUCCAGAGCAACAAAGGAGUUUCACAGAAGAGAAAUGAAGAAAAGAAUGAGAAAGAGGCAAGAGGGGCUGGAAAAGGCAUGAAUCAACCAGUAAUACUGCAAACAGGGACUCUCAGCAAACCCUUGAGAAACAGAAAGCUACUUGGGGAGGUGGAAAGGAAGAAUUACUUGGCCUUGUUUUAGCCUUUGAAAUCCCUUUGGUCUAAUCCAAAAAAACCCAAGACUUUUCAACUGGUGGAAUGAACUGAAACCACUUUUAUUCAAAUCAUUUUAGAUCUGUACAAUGAAACUCACAGCCAGGAUUCCAGGGCUAUUUUGAACCUUGGAAGCUUUUUUGAAAGCAGUAAGGGGGUGAAGGGUAGGAAUAAAAGAAAGAAAAAUUUCA
rnacentral:lncRNA from 1 species